GACGAACGUGGCGGCUUCCUAAUACAUGCAAGUCGAACGAGAGCGACCGGUGCUUGCACUGGUCAAUCUAGUGGCGAACGGGUGAGUAACACGUGGGUAACCUGCCCAUCAGAGGGGGAUAACAUUCGGAAACGGAUCUAAAACCGCAUAGGUCCUUUAACCGCAUGGUUGAAGGAGGAAAAGAGGCGCAAGCUUCUGCUGAUGGAUGGACCCGCGGUGCAUUAGCUAGUUGGUGAGGUAACGGCUCACCAAGGCCGUGAUGCAUAGCCGACCUGAGAGGGUGAUCGGCCACAUUGGGACUGAGACACGGCCCAAACUCCUACGGGAGGCAGCAGUAGGGAAUCUUCCGCAAUGGACGCAAGUCUGACGGAGCAACGCCGCGUGAGUGAAGAAGGUUUUCGGAUCGUAAAACUCUGUUGUUAGAGAAGAACAAGUGCUAGAGUAACUGUUAGCGCCUUGACGGUAUCUAACCAGAAAGCCACGGCUAACUACGUGCCAGCAGCCGCGGUAAUACGUAGGUGGCAAGCGUUGUCCGGAUUUAUUGGGCGUAAAGCGAGCGCAGGCGGUUCCUUAAGUCUGAUGUGAAAGCCCCCGGCUCAACCGGGGAGGGUCAUUGGAAACUGGGGAACUUGAGUGCAGAAGAGGAGAGUGGAAUUCCAUGUGUAGCGGUGAAAUGCGUAGAUAUAUGGAGGAACACCAGUGGCGAAGGCGACUCUCUGGUCUGUAACUGACGCUGAGGCUCGAAAGCGUGGGUAGCAAACAGG
rnacentral:rRNA from 1 species